GUGUUCGUUUCCGCCAGCACAUAUACUCUAAUUGGUAACGAUACAGAGAAGAUUAGCAUGGUCCCCCUGCGCAAAGGAUGACACGCAAAAUUUGUGAAGCGCACGCACACACA
rnacentral:snRNA from 1 species